UGGGAAGACGGUAGCUUAGUGGUAGAGUGUCUUGCAUGCAGAAGGUUCCAGGUUCAAAUCCUGGUAUCUCAA